CUUUCGAGAACAACAGCUACUUGCAAUACUUGCCACCUAGAGAAAUUGACGUCGUAUUUGACAAAUUUACCUCCAAAAUUAUUGAUCUCGGACUGCCUGUGGUACCAGAGUUAAAAAGGGAACUACUUAAUCUACGGGAGCUUAAUGAUGAACCGUCCAACUAUGUUAUACAAGAGGAAGAUUUCGAAGAUGAAAAAUAAGAGAAAAAUGAUUUCCUCCCACGAAUCAUUCGACUUUUAAUUUAAAUAAAGUAUGUACUAUUGAACAGUUUAUAACUCCGUAUCAUAUU
ensembl:antisense_RNA anr-27 ncRNA